rnacentral:rRNA from 1 species
GACGAACGCUGGCGGCGCGCCUAACACAUGCAAGUCGAACGAGCGAGAGAGAGCUUGCUUUCUCGAGCGAGUGGCGAACGGGUGAGUAACGCGUGAGGAACCUGCCUCAAAGAGGGGGACAACAGUUGGAAACGACUGCUAAUACCGCAUAAGCCCACGGCUCGGCAUCGAGCAGGGGGAAAAGGAGUAAUCCGCUUUGAGAUGGCCUCGCGUCCGAUUAGCUAGUUGGUGAGGUAAUGGCCCACCAAGGCGACGAUCGGUAGCCGGACUGAGAGGUUGAACGGCCACAUUGGGACUGAGACACGGCCCAGACUCCUACGGGAGGCAGCAGUGGGGAAUAUUGCACAAUGGGGGAAACCCUGAUGCAGCGACGCCGCGUGGAGGAAGAAGGUCUUCGGAUUGUAAACUCCUGUUGUUGGGGAAGAUAAUGACGGUACCCAACAAGGAAGUGACGGCUAACUACGUGCCAGCAGCCGCGGUAAAACGUAGGUCACAAGCGUUGUCCGGAAUUACUGGGUGUAAAGGGAGCGCAGGCGGGAAGACAAGUUGGAAGUGAAAUCUAUGGGCUCAACCCAUAAACUGCUUUCAAAACUGUUUUUCUUGAGUAGUGCAGAGGUAGGCGGAAUUCCCGGUGUAGCGGUGGAAUGCGUAGAUAUCGGGAGGAACACCAGUGGCGAAGGCGGCCUACUGGGCACCAACUGACGCUGAGGCUCGAAAGUGUGGGUAGCAAACAGGAUUAGAUACCCUGGUAGUCCACACCGUAAACGA